rnacentral:rRNA from 1 species
CAGUCGCCACGGUAAUACGGAGGGGGCUAGCGUUGUUCGGAAUUACUGGGCGUAAAGCGCACGUAGGCGGCUUGGUAAGUUAGAGGUGAAAGCCCAGGGCUCAACCCUGGAAUUGCCUUUAAGACUGCCGAGCUAGUAGGUGAGAGAGGUAAGUGGAAUUCCGAGUGUAGAGGUGAAAUUCGUAGAUAUUCGGAAGAACACCAGUGGCGAAGGCGGCUUACUGGCUCAUUCUAGACGCUGAGGUGCGAAAGCGUGGGGAGCAAACAGGAUUAGAGACCCCCGUAGUCCCUGUCUCUUAUAC